AAUAUAAAUUAAACAUUACUAUAUAAGAAAUUUAUUACAUAACAUGAAUAAACAAAAUAAUACCAUAUUUUGUAAAAAAAAACAUCUUACAUAUAAUUUUUUAAAUAAUUAAUAAAAGUGUUUAGAAGAAAAAUGUGAGUUUAUUUAUCUCCCAUUAUUUUAAAAAGAGUUAAAGCUCUUAAAAUGAAUAUCCUCAUGUUUUUCAAUAUAAAUAUCCAAUUAUAUGAAAAGAAUAGUCAAAAUUUUGAAAUUGAUUGGAUAAUAUUAAUACAUAUAAUUUAUUUCGACAAAAAAAAGAAUAAAUAAAAAUUAAAGACCAAUUUAUAAUUUAGAAAAUCAUGUUUACAAAAAUGAAGCAAUGAACAGUAUUGUUUCAAAUUUGAAGCACCGUUCAUUGCUUCAUUUUAAAGCAAGAAAUAAAACAUCAAUGGAGCACAGUUUGCUUCAAAAUGAAGCAAAAAAUAGAAAAUGAAACAUUAUUGGAAAUGGUCUUAGCAGCUUCAUUUUCUUUCUAAGCUGCAAAUAAACUGUUUUUCGUUGUAAUUGGUCCAGCCUUUCCCUUGGACUCAGCAAGAACAAUUUUUAUUUCGUUCCAUCCCUCCUCUUUGUUUGAUUGAGUCAUGUACUAUUUUUUUUCUUUCUCAAGUUUCAAUCUCAAGGAAGACAAGUAUACCUUUUAAGCAUUUUCCUUCAUAUGUUGUUUUCUCGAUAUUCACAUUCACUUCUUGGAGUUCCUUUUUUUUGCAAAAGGAACAAUUGUUUGCAUAAUGUAUGGACAUGUCCUGUAAUGAGAUCUCCAUUGUUACUACCAAGUCCCAUGUUUCCUCCUCCAGCUUGGAUGUUUGAUUACUGCGUUUUACAUAGAUCAAGUAACCUAAGGUGCACGCUACCACAAUCGAACGAUAUAUCGAUGUAGAUUUUAUGAUCGAAUCUACAGAGAACUAAAGAUUUAUAACACCAAAAAUACACCAGAUUUUUUAAUCUAAGCAAAUAGGAAAAUGAGAUGAAUCUAAACUAAUGAAAUAGAAUGACAACUAAAAGCAACUAUAAGAUAAACAGAAAGACAAGUUCUUAGGUCAAAGUUAUUGAUUAAAAUGAUCAAAUGCUAUCUCAUGAUGCUUAAACAAACAAUUGCUAAUUUUUGGACUUAAGAUCACUAAUUUAAGCUAAUCCACUCAUGUGGCAAUAACUCCUAUACUAAUCAAGUUCUUAACAUCAAUUCCUAUUAGUUAAUUAACAUCAAGUAUGCAUGAAUUUCAAGUCUUAAUAGUCACUAAAUCUCUAGCAUCAACUCCCGUUGGCUAAAAAAGUAACUAAAGCACAUUGAUUAGUUCAUUCAAAUAUUUCAUAUUCUUCUAGGCAUGAAACAAUGUAUGAUCUAGAUUAUAGUUUUCCAACCUUAAUCUAGCAUUAAUCACAUCAAUCAAGUAAAGAUCAUAGAGAUUAAAUCAUCCUAAUCUACUAAACCCAAAAACUCUUAGAGUAUUACUCACUGAUUUCCAUGAAACCAAACAAACUCAUGAUAGAUUGUUAGAUAAGCAAAAGAUUAAAAAAUAGAUAAACAAAUGUUAACAAAAUAAAUCAUUAAAUCAAGCAAGAUUCAAGAUUAGAACAAAAGAAAUUCAAAUAAAAUUAAGGUUAUGUAGUUUUUGGGUUUUUAUUGCCCUUAAAUAUCUAUUUAUAGAUUUUCUAAAUCAAAUCUAAUUAACCAGAUUAAACCAUGAAAAAUCUGGAUAAAAGCUUAUUUUUAAAUGCCAAACGCAAUUUUUCCAGUCGCAAUAGCUAUCUUCCCAUCACUGCGUUUUCAUCAAUCUGCGUUUUCAUCAAUCUGCGUUUGAUCUAACAACUUUCAAGAUUUUCACCUUCCCUUCUUUCUAGAAAGCUUCAGUUGAAACCGUGGAGUAUAUGAACAAACCAUGGAAUGGAGUUGAAGAGAAAUGGAGAGCAGGGCCUCUCUUGCGUUACAAACUUACAGACCAUGGAGAGCAAUGACCGCAAUCUUCGUCGUGUUGUGGGUCGUGCUCAGCUCCUCUCUCGUUGCCACAGGCUAUUUCCUCCAUGAAUUUAACAGGCCAUGACCAUCUCUUCUUCAUCCGCCGCGAUUCAAGCUUCUACUGUCGCCGGUUCAUCAUCAACGCCUCGCCGUCGUAGCCAACGGAGAUCGGGAUCUCGGAAUCGCAGAGAAAGCUUGACCACGAGCAACCGUGGUCAACUUUAGCUUAUUUGCGCAUCUGGUCCUUUCUCUUUCAGAUAUUAUCAAAUUGACCCAGAAACCUUUGAAAAUGCUAAUACGUCCUCACGAAUCAACCCCAAACUUUCGAUUAAACAUUCUACACCUCCUCCUAAUUGAACAAUGGUCCCUCCUCUUUUGGUGGUUUUCAAAGCGGCCACAAACUUUGUAAUUUGCAAGAUUAACCUCACGAGUUUGCCCCAAA